CUCUCUCUCUCUCUCUCAUGUGUUGUGGUGGCUAAUCCAAUAGCAGUUCACAUUAACAUGAAAUUUCUUCAUUCUGCUUAUGCUAAUCACAUAUUUUGUCUCUUCCGUGGAAUCGUAUUUCUGGAGUAUAUGAAAACGUAUUCAAAAUCUGUAAUGAUUUUGUGAAAAAUGAAGUUAAAUAAGCCCCUGUUUGAGCCCCAUUAUCUAAAAUUUCAUUUUCACCAAACUCAUUUUCAAUCGGACAUUCUCUCAAUAAAAUAAUUUGCAUAUAAAUUCCAAUUUUUUUUCCAACUUUUUAACAACAUUCUCCAAAAAAUCACUACUACAGAACUCAUUUUUUGGAAAGGAAAAAAAAAAAAAAAUGGGGCUCAAACAGAGGUUAAAAGAAUAAUAUUCUCAUUAUCCAUGUGAUGAACAUUUUUCCCAUUUAUCUUCUAUUUUUUCAUACAAGUUCUUUUAAAUUAUAUAUUUAUGACGUUUUGGCUAAUGCAAUUGCAUUUGCUAUAAUUAGUAACAGUAUCUUCCUCAAGUAGCACCUUUUUCAUCUCAUAUUGUGUUGUGCUCUGUACCCAUCAAUGUUUUCUUCGCUAUAUCUGACAGAUACAGAUGAAAUAGUUCUCCUCUCUCUGUAGCAGCAUUUUCUUUUACGUGAUAUUGUGUAUAUUGAACGUGCCAACUAAGCUGUGCAAUGCAAUCCUAGGCCUCUGUUUACAUGUAGCAUUUAACACUUUACUGUACAUUAUAAGGUUAUUAGGUUUUCUGCUAUACUAAAUAAAAACGAGCUUACUUAUCCCGUUAGUGAUUAUUUCUUGUCUUUGGGGAUUGGCCAAGUCAAAAAUCUAAUUGAAUAAAUGUGUGAACUUCAUUUCUGGGAAUGCCUUUAUUGUGAUUAAAUUUAGGAUGGACAUUUAUCUAUUGCUCUCUGCUUAGGCUACUAAAUUGAUAAUUUGAUUCUGUCUCAAUCUUGUUUAUGCGUACAGCUAUGUGCAGUGGUAUCAGGAAAAGGAGAAGAUGGAGCACAGAUACUGAAGUCAAAUGUACUCAAAAUUUCGUAUGUUAUCUAGUCUUACCUGCCAAUAAGCGAUUUUACGACUUUGCCUGCAGCUGCAGUUAUCGAACUCCAGAAUUUAAAUGUCCAUUUGCAGAUAUCAACUUUCGUGACCUCUAUAUUGUGUUAAAUCACACGAUGCUUUGAAAUCUGUUUGGUUAUGCUAAAAUUUUAUGAAUAUCGUUUUUCUCUUAUUGCUUUUCUCGAAUAAAGAAUUACAUUUUGUUAUGAAUUAAUUCUAUUAUAGCUGCACCCCCCAACCCCAAC
rnacentral:lncRNA from 1 species